rnacentral:lncRNA from 1 species
UUCUCAACCUUCUACUUCAAUUGCCUCACACAAUGCAAUCUCUGUGUCUUCAACCCAAUUCUCCAACAAGAUCACAGUAAAAACUCGCUUUGCCUAAACUCUCGAUGCCUGCGAUCCAAGCUGAACUCUCUUCUAGGGAGAUCAUGUCAGCUGGUUGCAGAAGCUGACCCUCAUCCAACCUAUUACACUCCACAUCCAUUUCUAAAUACAUUUACACUCUUUGCAAAUGACACUUUUCCACUCACAUAGCCCACACCCUCGAUGCCAUAUUCACACUAGCCUUUUUAAUUUAAGUCUUCUGAACUAAGUAUGACAUUUCAAUCCAACGAUACACCUAACCAUAUCUGAUCUAUCUUCGCAGGAUGAAGGGAUGCAGGAUGAUAUCCGUUCCCCCACACACCUGUUCUAAACAGGCCCGGAUUGACUAAUCGGGAGGACCGGGAGAAUUCCCGGUGGGCCGGUCCGUUUUUUUUGGCCGCGAGGGCCGGUGUCCCUAGCUCCAGAAUCUGUUGCUCUCAGCAGUGACACUUUUUUAAUUCAUUUACUUGACCACAGCCUUUUUAUUCAU